AUCUUUGUUUUUUUUUUACCGGAUGAGAACGAGAAAGCUAGCUAAUUGUAGUCCUAGCUGAACAAGCCGUAGCUGCUGAUGUAUGGAGUUUGUGUGAACUCUCUCUUAGUUAAUCUUGCUUUGCGUUUAUUGUUUUUUUUAUCAAAUAGCAAAUUAGCAACAUGUUGGUAUACAAAAUAGUAUUUAGGAUGGAUCUUGUCUACAUACACAACAUUAAAUAGCUUGCGGAC
rnacentral:lncRNA from 1 species